UACGAGGGGGGCUAGCGUUGUUCGGAAUCACUGGGCGUAAAGGGCGCGUAGGCGGCUUUAUAAGUCGGGGGUGAAAGCCUGUGGCUCAACCACAGAAUUGCCUUCGAUACUGUAGAGCUUGAGACCGGAAGAGGUAAGUGGAACUGCGAGUGUAGAGGUGAAAUGCGUAGAUAUCCGGAGGAACACCGGUGGCGAAGGCGGCUUCCUGGACCGAUACUGACGCUGAGGCGCGAAAGCUAGGGGAGCAAACGGG
rnacentral:rRNA from 1 species